rnacentral:rRNA from 1 species
CCGGAGCUAACGCGUUAAGUAGACCGCCUGGGGAGUACGGCCGCAAGGUUAAAACUCAAAUGAAUUGACGGGGGCCCGCACAAGCGGUGGAGCAUGUGGUUUAAUUCGAUGCAACGCGAAGAACCUUACCUGGUCUUGACAUCCACGGAAGGUCUCAGAGAUGAGACUGUGCCUUCGGGAACCGUGAGACAGGUGCUGCAUGGCUGUCGUCAGCUCGUGUUGUGAAAUGUUGGGUUAAGUCCCGCAACGAGCGCAACCCUUAUCCUUUGUUGCCAGCGGUCCGGCCGGGAACUCAAAGGAGACUGCCAGUGAUAAACUGGAGGAAGGUGGGGAUGACGUCAAGUCAUCAUGGCCCUUACGACCAGGGCUACACACGUGCUACAAUGGCGCAUACAAAGAGAAGCGACCUCGCGAGAGCAAGCGGACCUCAUAAAGUGCGUCGUAGUCCGGAUUGGAGUCUGCAACUCGACUCCAUGAAGUCGGAAUCGCUAGUAAUCGUGGAUCAGAAUGCCACGGUGAAUACGUUCCCGGGCCUUGUACACACCGCCCGUCACACCAUGGGAGUGGGUUGCAAAAGAAGUAGGUAGCUUAACCUUCGGGAGGGCGCUUACCACUUUGUGAUUCAUGACUGGGGUGAAGUCGUAACAAGGUAACCGUAGGGGAACCUG